rfam:Picea glauca, whole genome shotgun sequence.
UCAUAUGUACAUGCCUACAAUGUUAAUGCAUUGGAUCCCAUUAAAACUCCACAGUUAAUCACACUUGGGAUAGAAUAGUAUAGGGAUGGGUGAUCUCCUAGGAAGUCUUAAUGUUUUACAUGCC